GAAAUGCAAAGAACUCGGGGCACUCAAGUUCUCCCUAACCACUCUGUCCCCAGGUCUUAGCCUCCAUCCUAGUUCAAUAAAUAUUUGUUGAAUGCAAAAUCUCUUUAUGAACUGUAAGCUACUAAGCACAUAGUAGUUACUGCCACCAUGUAGUGAUUAUUAUUGGUGCCCUGGGCCAGACUCUUCAUCUGUAAAUUACUGAGGGUAUGGAGUAGAUGAUGAAUAAAGUCCUUGCCAGCUAUAAAUUCUGUGUCCAAGACUUCAGUCUCCACUUCUGCCAAG
rnacentral:lncRNA from 1 species